CGAAUAUGGAAGCUGAGCAUGGGGUGGGGGUGGGGUGAGCUUGACAGGCCCAGGCCCCAGGAACCGGUACUUUCCAGCCCCAGGGCAUGACAAUCCCAGAGGAAGACCAUCUCAGGAAUCUGGCCUUUUAAAAGACAGAAUUUUCACUGGACUCCUUUUGAAAAUCCUCACCCGUUAGACUUUUGUCUCAGAAGCUAACCUCUGACCUUAGACCCCAUAGAAGAGAUUUUGGUCCUGGAGCCUUGCAUGAACACAUUCAGUGGAAGGCAGAAGUCACAGCCCUCAUCGGGUUCUGGAAAGAGGCUCAGAGCCACCACUGUGGGAAAGUCUCCUGGGUGGGUUGUAUGUGGCAGAUCUGUGCAUCCAAAAAGAGGGGUUUGGUUCAUGAAGAUGCCAUCUAACUGAGACACCAGAAGGUCUUUGGGUUCCUUAGGGGUAGGUUUGGAGUCUUGGAGGGAGUUAAGGUCACUUUAGACCCUGUUGGCAGAGAGCCUCCUGCCCCUUGCCUUGCUGUCGUCCCUAAGUCUGACCUGUGAAGAGUGGUCCUGUCCCACUAAAUAGGCUUGGCCUGUGAAGAGGGAUGGUAACUACUCCAUAGUCUGAUGGCCCUGUUCUCAAAGCGGUGAGGAUCCAGGACCACUACAUUGUGUCAGGGAAGAGCAGCAUGUCGCCUAACGUCACGUACCCUUCCCUUCUGGAGGACUACCGCGUGGAGUACAGAGUAACUCUCACUGAGGACCAGCUGCCCCGCUUAGAGGAGAUUCACAUCCGGGGACCUGUCCGGGAUGACAUUGAGAUCCAGGUGUACAGACGAUAUGGAGGAGAAUAUGGGGGUCUUACACACCCAGACAUCACCUUUACCUACUUCCAACGGAAGCAGCAGGCAGCCUGGGUAUGGGCCGCUAAGCGUGGGCCCUGCUCAGUGAGCUGUGGGGCAGGGCUGCGCUGGGUGACCUACAGCUGCCAGGAUCAAGCUCAAAACAAGUGGGUGAGGAACGCCCAGUGCCAAGGGAGCCCGCAGCCACCUGCAUGGCAGGAGCCUUGUGUCUCUGCCCCGUGCCCUCCACACUGGGUAGCUGACGACUUUGGCCCAUGCAGCGUGUCUUGUGGCGGAGGCCUUCGGGAGCGGUCACUGCGCUGUGUAGAGGCCCACAAUGGCUUCUUAAAGACGUUGCCGCCAGCCCCAUGCAGAGCAGUAGCCCAGCAGCCAGCAGGAGAGGUAGAAAACUGCAACUCCCAGCCCUGCCCCACUGGGUGAGUAGACCAAGGUGGGUUGCAGCAGGGCUCCUUGGCAGGGCUUGUCCCUGCCCCGAGACCCACCCUUUGGGGGCCUUCUCUUGCCGAAGGCUCUCAUCAGCUCCAUCCUGGUGAUAGACAGUGGUGCCUGGACAUCAGCCUUCUCGCUAUUCGAGGCUCUGGGCUGCUCAUCUCCAUCACUGAAUUUCUAACACCUGGGUGAUGUGCGGAUGAGGGCCGUGAGGAUGGCGUGACGCUGUGAACAUAAAGCUCCCAUCGUGUGACUGUGACUUAAAUAUCCUCCAUGUCCAAACGGAUCUUCACUUCUUGGUCUGCCCGUCACCAAUGGGCUGGAUCAGCAUGGGCCCCUGCCUUUUCUGGCUUCAGGCUUGUUAUCUGUGCCACGGGAGAGCCCUAGAUCAUUGGUGGCCCACCGAUGGCCCUGGCCCCUUCCUCUUCUCUCACGAAUGGUCAACAUUGCCGUCU
rnacentral:lncRNA from 14 species